UGGGAGGUAUAAGAAAGUGAAACUAUUAAAGCAUAUAGUUUCACUGAUACCCACCUCCAAAAGUGAAAGUGGUAGCGUGAACCACCAGAUCUCCAGAUUUAGGUUCUGAGUGUUCUGCACCUACCCACAAUA
rnacentral:scRNA from 11 species